UACGGGGGGGGCAAGCGUUGUUCGGAAUUACUGGGCGUAAAGGGCUCGUAGGCGGCCAACUAAGUCAGACGUGAAAUCCCUCGGCUUAACCGGGGAACUGCGUCUGAUACUGGAUGGCUUGAGUUUGGGAGAGGGAUGCGGAAUUCCAGGUGUAGCGGUGAAAUGCGCAGAUAUCAGGAAGAACACCCGUGGCGAAGGCGGCUCUCUGGGACGGUACUGACGCUGAGACGCGAAAGCGUGGGGAGCGAACAGG
rnacentral:rRNA from 1 species